UACAGGCUUAACACAUGCAAGUCGAGGGGCAGCAUGGUCUUAGCUUGCUAAGGCUGAUGGCGACCGGCGCACGGGUGAGUAACACGUAUCCAACCUGCCGUCUACUCUUGGCCAGCCUUCUGAAAGGAAGAUUAAUCCAGGAUGGCAUCAUGAGUUCACAUGUCCGCAUGAUUAAAGGUAUUUUCCGGUAGACGAUGGGGAUGCGUUCCAUUAGAUAGUAGGCGGGGUAACGGCCCACCUAGUCAACGAUGGAUAGGGGUUCUGAGAGGAAGGUCCCCCACAUUGGAACUGAGACACGGUCCAAACUCCUACGGGAGGCAGCAGUGAGGAAUAUUGGUCAAUGGGCGAUGGCCUGAACCAGCCAAGUAGCGUGAAGGAUGACUGCCCUAUGGGUUGUAAACUUCUUUUAUAAAGGAAUAAAGUCGGGUAUGCAUACCCGUUUGCAUGUACUUUAUGAAUAAGGAUCGGCUAACUCCGUGCCAGCAGCCGCGGUAAUACGGAGGAUCCGAGCGUUAUCCGGAUUUAUUGGGUUUAAAGGGAGCGUAGAUGGAUGUUUAAGUCAGUUGUGAAAGUUUGCGGCUCAACCGUAAAAUUGCAGUUGAUACUGGAUGUCUUGAGUGCAGUUGAGGCAGGCGGAAUUCGUGGUGUAGCGGUGAAAUGCUUAGAUAUCACGAAGAACUCCGAUUGCAAAGGCAGCCUGCUAAGCUGCAACUGAC
rnacentral:rRNA from 1 species